ensembl:lncRNA
GGGCGUCUCUCAGAUAGGAGAACCAUGGUAAUACGCAGGGCGUCUCUCAGAUAGGAGAACCAUGGUAAUACGCAGGGCGUCUCUCAGAUAGGAGAAUAAUACGUCUGGCGGCUCGGCACCUAUCAGGGGGAUUGUACAUUACAAUACAUAAAAAAUGGAUUUCAAGCAUAUAAACGUUGUCCAGCUUUUCCAGCGACAACAACAUCGUCCCUUUCCUUCCUCUUCUUCCUUGGUUUGGCAAGACAGUAGUAGUGAUGACGAAGAACAUACCAUACUACUACACUGGGUUGAGUUAAACAGAGACAGAGAGGGAGAGAGAGAGAGGGAGGGAGAGACAGAGAGAGAGAGGGACAGAGAGAGAGAGGGAGGGAGAGACAGAGAGAGAGAGGGACAGAGAGAGAGAGGGACAGAGAGAGAGAGGGACAGAGAGAGAGAGAGAGAGGGAGAGAGAGGGACAGAGAGAGAGAGAGGGACAGAGAGAGAGAGAGGAGGGAGAGAGAGAGGGAGAGAGAGAGAGAGAGAGAGAGAGAGAGGGACAGAGAGAGAGAGAGAGAGGGACAGAGAGAGAGAGAGAGAGAGGAGAGAGAGAGAGAGAGAGACAGAGAGAGAGAGAGAGGGAGGGAGAGAGAGACAGAGACAGAGAGACAGAGACAGAGAGACAGAGAGGGAGACAGAGACAGAGAGAGAGACAGAGACAGAGAGAGAGAGAGAGAGAGAGAGAGAGAGAGAGAGAGAGAGACACAGAGAGGGGUAGGGGGAGACACACCAAACAGAGGAGAUUAACACUUGGGUGCCGCGUCACGUCUCAACAGACAGACGGCUUGUCUCUCGUCUAACCAUCCACUCCGACAGGCACACAAUAACACCCGGUGAUAACUGAUCAGAGGGCUUUAUUUACCUGGCCCUGCCCAGACACUGGCCCCUUCUCCCCAAAUGGUUUAAGGUUAGGAUGUAGGGAGGAGCCGAUCAUAGAUCUGUGUUAAGGGGAGACUUGCACCCAGAGCAUGGUUUUCCCUGAACAGCUUUGAAGAACCAAAUCAGAUUCAGAAACCCUUUCCUGAGUCAGGCUGAGAGCCAAUCGGAACCCUUUCCUGAGUCAGGCUAAGAGCCAAUCGGAACCCUUUCCUGAGUCAGGCUGAGAGCCAAUCAGAACACUUUCCUGAGUCGGGCUAAGAGCCAAUCGAACCCCUUUCCUGAGUCGGGCUAAGAGCCAAUCGGAACCCUUUCCUGAGUCAGGCUGAGUGGCGGGACUCUGAAACAACAGCAACUAGCCUUGUGCUAGCAGCACCAUGCUACCCUGACAGGUAGUUAAGCUCAUCUCACGUGACAGUGCCCUCUGCUGGGCUAGAUCAGCACAGAGACACCCCUCAUACCACCACACUACCAGCCUGUCUACCCUGUCAGAGCACAACACACACACACCACAGCCCAAGAGACAGACAGCCUCCUAGUCAGACAGAGAGACAGACAGCCUCCUAGUCAGACAGAGAGACAGACAGCCUCCUAGUCAGACAGAGAGACAGACAGCCUCCUAGUCAGACAGAGAGACAGACGGCCUCCUAGUCAGACAGAGAGACAGACGGCCUCCUAGUCAGACAGAGAGACAGACGGCCUCCUAGUCAGACAGAGAGACAGACGGCCUCCUAGUCAGACAGAGAGACAGACGGCCUCCUAGUCAGACAGAGAGACAGACAGCCUCCUAGUCAGACAGAGACAGACAGCCUCCUAGUCAGACAGAGAGACAGACAGCCUCCUAGUCAGACAGAGAGACAGACGGCCUCCUAGUCCUGUCCUCACUCCUUCCAUCUUUAAAUAAUCCCAAGUGCAAAUCCAAAUUUCC